rnacentral:misc_RNA from 1 species
UUUCCACAGCUUUAGAUACCAGAGAACCAUUCUCCUGGUUGGAAAAUUACUGUCUAGUAACGCAGUCCGGUUGCCUCCAACGACGAUCCAACAUGCGAAGGCCAUUCCACGCUUCAACAGAAUACUAUUGACUUCCCCUAGCGUCGGUUUUACUAGAAAUUGCUUCAAGCGAAAUCGGAAACUUGAAGUUCCUGAAACUUGAGGAGAGUUAAGGUGAUCAAUUUGCUGUUACUAUAAUGGAAUCCAAAUUUUUUCGGUUUCUUAAGAUAGUGGGUGUUGGAUACAAAGCAAGGGCUGAAGCAGAAGGACGCCUCUUAUUUCUCAAAUUGGGAUACAGUCAUGAGGUUGAACUCACAGUUCCUCUCGCUGUUCGUGUUUUCUGCUUCAAGAACAAUGUAGUUUGUUGCACUGGAAUUGACAAGCAAAGGGUGCACCAGUUUGCUGCUUCUGUUCGUAGUUGCAAACCUCCUGAAGUUUACAAGGGCAAGGGUAUAAUGUACAUUGAUGAAGUGAUCAAGAAGAAACAAGGAAA